rnacentral:rRNA from 1 species
GACGAACGCUGGCGGCGUGCCUAAUACAUGCAAGUCGAACGCACAGUUUAUACCGUAGCUUGCUACACCAUAGACUGUGAGUUGCGAACGGGUGAGUAACGCGUAGGUAACCUGCCUGGUAGCGGGGGAUAACUAUUGGAAACGAUAGCUAAUACCGCAUAAUAUUAAUUAUUGCAUGAUAAUUAAUUGAAAGGUGCAAUUGCACCACUACCAGAUGGACCUGCGUUGUAUUAGCUAGUAGGUGAGGUAACGGCUCACCUAGGCGACGAUACAUAGCCGACCUGAGAGGGUGAUCGGCCGCACUGGGACUGAGACACGGCCCAGACUCCUACGGGAGGCAGCAGUAGGGAAUCUUCGGCAAUGGACGAAAGUCUGACCGAGGAACGCCGCGUGAGUGAAGAAGGGUGUCGGAUCGUAAAGCUCUGUUGUAAGAGAAGAACGGGUGUGAGAGUGGAAAGUUCACACUGUGACGGUAUCUUACCAGAAAGGGACGGCUAACUACGUG